GACGUAGGGCGCGAGCGUUGUCCGGAUUUAUUGGGCGUAAAGAGCUCGUAGGCGGCUUGUCGCGUCAACUGUGAAAACCCGUGGCUCAACCAUGUGGUCUGCAGUCGAUACGGGCAGGCUAGAAUUCGGUAGGGGAGACUGGAAUUCCUGGUGUAGCGGUGAAAUGCGCAGAUAUCAGGAGGAACACCGGUGGCGAAGGCGGGUCUCUGGGCCGUAACUGACGCUGAGGAGCGAAAGCGUGGGGAGCGAACAGG
rnacentral:rRNA from 1 species